AUCGAGUUAGCUCAAUGGUAGAGGCGAUGACGGUGUACACCGUAAAAACGGGAGGUCAUAGACAGAGGUUCGAUUCCUCUACUCGCUG
rnacentral:tRNA from 1 species